AGUGAACGCUGGCGGCAGGCCUAAUACAUGCAAGUCGAACGGCAGCACAGCAGAGCUUGCUCUGUGGGUGGCGAGUGGCGGACGGGUGAGGAAUACAUGGGAAUCUGCCCAGUCGUGGGGGAUAACGUAUGGAAACGUACGCUAAUACCGCAUGCGCCCUACGGGGGAAAGCCGGGGACCUUCGGGCCUGGCGCGAUUGGAUGAGCCCAUGUUCGAUUAGCUAGUUGGCGGGGUAAAAGCCCACCAAGGCGACGAUCGAUAGCUGGUCUGAGAGGAUGAUCAGCCACACUGGAACUGAGACACGGUCCAGACUCCUACGGGAGGCAGCAGUAGGGAAUAUUGGACAAUGGGGGCAACCCUGAUCCAGCCAUGCCGCGUGAGUGAAGAAGGCCCUCGGGUUGUAAAGCUCUUUUGUCCGGAAGAAAAGCAUUCGGUUAAUACCGGGUGUUCUGACGGUACCGGAAGAAUAGCACCGGCUAACUUCGUGCCAGCAG
rnacentral:rRNA from 1 species